rfam:Viridibacillus arenosi FSL R5-213 Contig016, whole genome shotgun sequence.
UUCACCUUUAAAGACAGUCCAGAGAGGCUGAGAAGGUAUGCGUGAAAUGUGGAAAAUCCUUGUGAUGCAAGUUUUUUUCGACAUAUCUUAAGUACACCUAUAUCCUCUUGGGCUCAUUGCUCAAGAGGUUUUUUUAU